CGGACGGGUGAGUAAUGCUUGGGAAUCUGGCUUAUGGAGGGGGAUAACUACGGGAAACUGUAGCUAAUACCGCGUAAUAUCUUCGGAUUAAAGGGUGGGACUUUCGGGCCACCUGCCAUAAGAUGAGCCCAAGUGGGAUUAGGUAGUUGGUGGGAUAAAGGCCUACCAAGCCGACGAUCUCUAGCUGGUCUGAGAGGAUGACCAGCCACACUGGAACUGAGACACGGUCCAGACUCCUACGGGAGGCAGCAGUGGGGAAUAUUGCACAAUGGGGGGAACCCUGAUGCAGCCAUGCCGCGUGAAUGAAGAAGGCCUUCGGGUUGUAAAGUUCUUUCGGUGAUGAGGAAGGGUAGUGUUUUAAUAGAGCACUACAUUGACGUUAGUCACAGAAGAAGCACCGGCUAACUCCGUGCCAGCAGCCGCGGUAAUACGGAGGGUGCGAGCGUUAAUCGGAAUGACUGGGCGUAAAGGGCACGCAGGCGGUGACUUAAGUGAGAUGUGAAAGCCCCGAGCUUAACUUGGGAAUUGCAUUUCAUACUGGGUUGCUAGAGUAUUUUAGGGAGGGGUAGAAUUCCACGUGUAGCGGUGAAAUGCGUAGAGAUGUGGAGGAAUACCGAAGGCGAAGGCAGCCCCUUGGGAAAAUACUGACGCUCAUGUGCGAAAGCGUGGGGAGCAAACAGGAUUAGAUACCCUGGUAGUCCACGCUGUAAACGCUGUCGAUUUGGGGAUUGGGCUUAGAGCUUGGUGCCCGUAGCUAACGUGAUAAAUCGACCGC
rnacentral:rRNA from 1 species